rnacentral:rRNA from 1 species
UACAGAGGUCCCAAGCGUUGUUCGGAUUCACUGGGCGUAAAGGGUGCGUAGGUGGUGAGGUAAGUCGGAUGUGAAAGCUCGGAGCUCAACUCCAAAAUGGCAUUGGAAACUACCUUGCUCGAGGGUUGGAGGGGGGACUGGAAUACUUGGUGUAGCAGUGAAAUGCGUAGAUAUCAAGUGGAACACCAGUGGCGAAGGCGGGUCUCUGGGCCUGUACUGACGCUGAGGAGCGAAAGCGUGGGGAGCAAACAGG